rnacentral:rRNA from 1 species
UAGGGAAUCUUCCACAAUGGGUGCAAGCCUGAUGGAGCAACACCGCGUGAGUGAAGAAGGGUUUCGGCUCGUAAAGCUCUGUUGUUAAAGAAGAACACGUAUGAGAGUAACUGUUCAUACGUUGACGGUAUUUAACCAGAAAGUCACGGCUAACUACGUGCCCG